AGGGAUAUAGCUCAAUUGAUAUAGUGCUUGCCUCGCAUGCAUGAGGCCCUGGGUUCAAUCCCCAGCAUCACCA
rnacentral:tRNA from 1 species